UGCUACAAUGCAACACAAAAAUCUACAGGUCAUUUUUUGCCUUGAAAAUAAUUUUUUAAAGUCUUGAAAUUAAUUUAAACUUACUGAAAAUUGGGCAAACUAACUCAGAUACUACAGUUUCAACAUUUGUUUGCUAUCUCUAGCUUAGCUAGUGUGAGGUGCUGGGAAAUGAGGCAGGAAUCCAAAUAAUCGUAUUCUGGAAGAGUAAAAAUGUGAAUCUGAAAUGCAAAAGCAUUUGUGGUGCUUUCUAAAGGCAUGAUGUAAACAACAAAUGGGAAAACUGUACCAUCAAAAUUCAGACACUGAGAGUUCAACAGUCGUGAGAUAAAAGGCCAAAUGGGAAUUUCACUUGAUGGAACACAUUAGAUACUCUUCUGUUGUGGGCUGCCAGUAGUGCAGCAGAAAUGCCAGAAGGAGAGGUAUUAGUUAGAAAAUUCAGAGCAACUGCAGCCUACAUUUCUGGAACUGGACAACUUUAAUCAGACCUGGUGCAAGAGAAGGGCCAAGCCUUCAAAAGCAGGUGUUGGAGGCUUUCAGAGUCCACAAUUUAUCACCCUAUCAUAUUCCAGAGAAAAUCACUGCAGAGUUGCACAUUCGUCAUGGCUUUGUGUUUUUUUAGAAGAAGAACAGUAACUGUAAAAACUUGCUCUUGCAUAUUCAAAAAUGUCUUUGAAAACAUUUGUGCAAAGAAGGAAGUAACUGCAGAGAGUCAUUUCAGACACUUCAGUUUUCAGUAGAAAUGCAUAAACUGCUGAGAGGGGGCUGAACUGGUGGUAGGGUGAACAUUCUUUAGAAACAGUACAAAAUUACACUGAACUCACAUGUUGAACAUGCAGGGCCUAGCUGCAGAAACCUGCUGAGGUCAAUUAAAAUCUUGAUAUUAAUUUUCAUAGGUUUCAGAUUAACCUCAUCUUUAUUUUGUGGAAUUACAUUAUGAUGGAUUUAUUUUAUCCUCAGGCUUACAUGCUUCUGUCUUCACACUUAUUGUUAAAUCUUCCAAUAAUGCUGGUUUUAAUUUGGCAUUCAAAUUCUGUUCCUCCCUGUGAGAAAUAUGUGUAUAAUACAAAUAAAAGCCAGGAAAUGGUUAUCUGAAGAUGGUGUUCUAAAGAAGAAAAGGUUGUCUGAAGAAAUGUUCUAAAAUGCUGGCUUUUGUUUGAUGGAAAUAU